GAGUUUGAUCAUGGCUCAGGACGAACGCUGGCGGCGUGCCUAAUACAUGCAAGUCGAGCGCGUGAAAUUCGCGGAUCUCUUCGGAGUGAUGCGGAUGGAUCGAGCGGCGGACGGGUGAGUAACACGUGGGCAACCUGCCCGUAAGACUGGGAUAACUUCGGGAAACCGAAGCUAAUACCGGAUAGGCUUUCGCACCGCAUGGUGCGAAAGGGAAAGGUGCUUCUGGCAUCACUUACGGAUGGGCCCGCGGCGCAUUAGCUAGUUGGUGAGGUAACGGCUCACCAAGGCGACGAUGCGUAGCCGACCUGAGAGGGUGAUCGGCCACACUGGGACUGAGACACGGCCCAGACUCCUACGGGAGGCAGCAGUAGGGAAUCUUCCGCAAUGGACGAAAGUCUGACGGAGCAACGCCGCGUGAGCGAGGAAGGUCUUUCGGAUCGUAAAGCUCUGUUGUCGGAGACGAACAAGCGUCAUAGGAAAUGAUGGCGCCAUGACGGUAUCCGGCCAGAAAGCCCCGGCUAACUACGUGCCAGCAGCCGCGGUAC
rnacentral:rRNA from 1 species